CAGGAAAAAAAGCAUGUGGAAAAGCCCACAAUUACUCUCUCACUUUCUUAAAACUUCCUAUCGAAUCGGUGAUUUAACUGACAUUUUUAAGGUUUAUAAAAUUGCUUAAAACUGAAGUUCUUGGAUUUGAUGCUGUUCUUAACCACCCCUGUCCCCCCACCCCCACUCCAGACACAACCACUCUUAACCAAAUUCAUUCUGCAAACCGUAAGGAAAGAUUAUUCUAAAAGCAAACACUGAGUCCCUAAAUGAAGGCAUGUGGGCAGUAGAACAGGGAGAUCAGGAAUAUAGCAAGGGGGAAAGCGUUUACUUCCGUUUGGCUUGUAGUUAGAGCAAAAGGGAAAGUUUAAUGAAAAGGCGAUUAAUGAAAAAUACCUAGAGCUGGUGAUACGUUGUUACACGCUCUCGUGUUAAAAAAAACGUCCAAUCCAGUGAGCCCCACUGUAGAAUGAAGGGCAGAUCCCAAGCCCAGGGCCCAAACAUUGGUUCUGCUUUGAACUUAACUUGACUUUUCUGGACUGGACCUCCGACUUGACCGCAGAAGGGCAAAUCGUUACCUUUAUGCCUUGGUGUGCUCAUCCAACAAUGGAAGCUGCACUGGGGAGAUGGGUUGACGGAAGGUUGCAAAGCCCUUUGAGGCUCUAAAACCCCAGGUGAUUGUGAACAACAAAUCUAAUGUGAUUAGAUGUGCCUUGGUUUCUUGGUUGUGUCUUAGUCAUUUUUUUUUUUUUCAUGUUUACUUCUGAGAGACAGAGAGCACAAGCCAGGGAGGGGCAGAGGGCGAGGGAGACACAGAAUCCGAAGCAGGCUCCAGGCUCCGAGCUGUCAGCACAGAGCGUGACGUGGGGCUCGGACCUGUGAACCAUGAGAUCAUGACCUGAGCUGAAGUCAGAGGCUCAACUCAGCCGACUGAGCCACUCAGGCGCCCCUACAAUGAUAUAUUUUGAGAUGUGCCAUGCUUCUUUUGCAUUUUCUUUUUCUUUUUUUUUUUUUUUUUAACGUUUAUUUAUUUUUGGGACAGAGAGAGACAGAGCAUGAAUGGGGGAGGGGCAGAGAGAGAGGGAGACACAGAAUCGGAAGCAGGCUCCAGGCUCUGAGCCGUCAGCCCAGAGCCCGACGCGGGGCUCGAACUCACGGACCGCGAGAUCGUGACCUGAGCCGAAGUCGGACGCUCAACCGACUGAGCCACCCAGGAGCCCCUUCUUUUGCAUUUUCUAAUUUCAUCUCUUCCUGUUUUGUUCGUAUGUGUUAAUUGUGGCUAACAGCACAUCAUUAUUGCCAGAUAUUUAAUUUGUUUAAAAGUUUUCAGUUCUGGGAGAAUGUGGUCCAGGUAGAGUGAGGCAGGCUGUUUUUGUGAAAGUGGGCUCACUAACCUCCUUGAACAGGAAAUGGAGUGAUUUCCCAAAUUAGAGAUGUCUAGGGAGAGCUCUUCUCCUCUUACAAAGAAGGAAACUGUUCCUUGUGAAGGAACAGUAGUAAAAAAAAAUAACAGAUUUUGUUAUUUGUCGCUAAUACUUAAAAGGAUAUGGUAAGUUUGUUUGCACCUCAGCUCUUAGUGUAAGGGUGGGUGAAAUUCUUUUGCCCUGGGCUUUGGCCACAAAAUGCCAUUGGUUGAUGGGGCUUGACCAUACAUUCCCUCCUGAGAACCUUGUGAAAUUUAGAUGUAAGACUUUGAAACGGAAGCACUGAAUGUUCUUGUUUGCUCUCCGUGUUCAGCCUUAAACUUUUAUCUGUAGCCCUAGGAAACUCUGCAAAGGUCAAUCUUGUGAACAUGGACAUUGGUUAUACUUUUCGGGGUCAUUAUGAACAGCCUCACUUGAAAAAACAGAUCUGUUUUCCUGAUUCACUUUUCUGUGCUUUAGAAUGAAAGUUAUUAUACUUCACAAUGUUAAAAAAAAAAAAAAGGCAUCUGGGGAGCCUGGGUGGCUCAGUCAGUUAAGCAUCCAACUUCGGCUUAGGUCAUGAUCUCUUGGUUCGUGAGUUCGGGCUCUGUGCUGACAGCUCAGAGCCUGAAACCUGCUUCGGAUUCUGUGUCCGCCCCCCUCCCCCCCCCCCCCCACACUCAUGCUCUGUCUCUCAAAAAUGAAUAAACGUUAAUUUUUUUUUUUUUUAAAGCAUCUGUUACAUGUACUCCACAUUUGAGAUACCAUUAGUCAGGAGCAUCUUUUACAAAUGAGGAGUCGAUUUUUUGCAUUUUGAGGUUCAGCCAGGCACUCCCAUUAUUCAGCUAUACACUGAACCUCACUUGCAAAAACAUGGUUCUGCCAUUAUCCUUACAGAAGGCCGUGUGUUCACACACAUGCACAAUUAUGAGGCUGAACAUCCCUUCUUCUUUGGGUUGCUCUUUGAUCUUUUAUUGUUUUGCUGCUGUGUCCAUAUGGAAAUGUUACCAACCAGCGGGCAAUUCCUUUUCCAUUAUGAUUCCUUGUCCAGAGUCUUCCCCCCUGUUGUUUCUUAUUUGUGUUGGGCUCCAGAUUGAUGCCAAUAUUUCAAAGGAGUACACCUCCUCGGGUUCAAAAGCUCAAUUUGCUUUAAGCAGCCAUCAAAGCUUACACUUAGAUUUAAGUACUUGUUUAUAGCCAGGUUUUUCUGACAUGCAGUGACAAUGUGGGCAUCUCCCAAGAAACAGUUUUCUUGUGAUACGGGGGGGGGAGACCUUUGGGAUUGGGUAGGGAGGACAUCAGCCCUGUCAGCAAGAAGCCUGUUUUCAGUUGGUGUUCCCUCUGCUGAUGUCCAUUUUGGUCUUUACCAAUUGGAAGUAUAUAUAAGACCCGCAGGGGCAUGACCUCAUCCAAAGAAGAUUGAUUGAAAAUUUUCAAACCCUAAAAAAAGCUCAGUUUGUGGAUGGUAGGUUUAUGUUCAUUCGUAAAAUUUCUUCCUGUCCAGAGUACCCAGUAAUGCUUGUCCUGGAAACCCCCCACUUUUUUAUACCGGAAAAAUACCAAAGAUGUGAGAGCAUAGAGGUAUGUGUUUACUAAGGGAACUUUUUUUUAAUAGCCUUCUGAAUCUCCUCCUUAGAAGAGAUUAAAUAAAGCCGGUGCCUUUCCACUUCCCAAGUCUAUCUCACACAUCAAACAAAUGAAAAUCCUUCCAAAACUCCUUUCCCUUCAUGCCCACACUCAAAUAUGCUGUUUUAUGUGGGUUGACCAAAGUCUUUUUCUGAUUUUCCUCCCCAUCUGUUCUUUGAAUAAACAUGCAUCCUAAAGGAGGACUUACAGGAUCAAAUUUGAUUCCUGUAUUUGGAAAUGUUUUCAAAAGACCAUGCCGCACUUGGCUAUUUGGUCAAAUUAGGUUCCGUUUGCCUCUAAUAGCAUUUAAUUACCUCCCACAUGCUUCUCACACUCUUUCACUUCUUGGUCUGCAUGACUUAGCUCUUCUGAUGUCCGACAAAGUGUACCGGCUAUAUUGGCCGUCUGGAAUUGUGGAAACCAAAAUAACCAGAGACACAACCGGUUAGUUUUUAACUUUUCAGAUUGUUUUGUUGCCAAAGACACGGCACCUCAAUUUCUUGCUUUUACAAGUGGAUUGCUAUACUCAUGGUGAUGAGGGAGCGUGGGGCAAGCUGAGGACAGAAUACAGGCUGGCACCCCGUCCCCUCCCCCAGGUGGAGUAUAUGUGACAGUCCCCGGAGACGCCUGGCUGCCCAAGAAUAAAGCAAAGGGGUGUAAGUGCUGGCCAUGGUGAUGGGGGAAACUAAGGCAGAUGAAAAAUUAAAUUCCCUUACUGCCUUUAGCCCAUUGACAAGUCCUUGAAACAGGCAGUGACCUCCCUCUAGGAGCUCAGCUGCCUCAAUGAUGACACUUUCCUGGAUGCAAAAGAGAACUUUAGCUUAACAUUGAACCUCGAGGAUCCUGUAAGCGUACUUCCUUUAUCUCAACUGUAGCGAGAUAUACGCUGGCAAUCAUACUCGAAGCUUAUGGCCCCCCAGUAUGCAUCUGAAAGGUCUCAUGACUGAGAUUUUGUUAAACUGUAGUGAGUGGCAUUUCCCUAGUAACAGCUAGCCCCUCAAGGUCCUGGAAACCUUGCUUCCAAAAUACCUUAGAGACUCAGUCUAUCCCUCACCUCCUCCCAAUCUGAGGGCAUAUAAUGAGUUACCUGUCACAACCCCAUACAGCUCUUCCUGCCCACGGGUCCUGUCUCCGUGCUUUAAUAAAAUCCCCUUUUUGCACCAAAGACGUCUUCAAGAAUUCUUUUCUUGGCCCUCGGCCCUGGACCAGCCCAAUGUCACCCUAAAACUUCAUCAAUAUGAUUUAAAAACUCACUUGAAUGGAAAGCAAUGUGCACUAAUAAAUCUCCGAGAGACGUUCAACCCAAAGUAUGAAGCAUCAAGGACGAGUUAUCUUACAGUUAUCCUCAAGGAGGGAUUCGGUUAUCCUGAUUAAUUUUUAUUUUUCUUUUUCCAGAUUAGAAAGGAGAGGAGGGUGGAGUGAAGGCCUUGUGUGGAAUGUCAUGUUCAGUUGUCAUUAUUUCCGGUUUACAACCUCUGCAUAGGCUGAGAUUAUGUCUGUUAAUCGGAGUUCAAUUUUAGUGGCAUCACAUACAAAGAUUAGUUAUCUUCAGUAUCCUAAUUCAGUUUAUUUUUAUUUAUUUUUUAAUCUCUGCUCUUGAGAGAGAGAGAGACAGUGUGUGAGCCAGGGCGGGGAACAGAGGGAGAGGGAGACACAGAAUCCAAAGCAGGCUCCAGGCUCUGAGCUGUCAGCACAGAGCCGGACGCGGGGCUCGAACUCACAGACAGAAAGAUCAUGACCUGAGCCGAAGUCGGAUGCUCAACUGACUGAGCCACCCAGGCCACCCCCCCCCCCAAUUCAGUUUAAACCUGGAGUUGGAAAACUAUUUUUUUUUUCUUUUGAAGGGCCAGAUAGUGAAUGAUUUAGGUUUCGAUGUGCACUUUGAUCAAAAUCACAUAUAUUAGGUAGGGACAUAGAGGAUGAAAAAGGAAACGCUUGCCCCUCUGUGGUCCUGUUCACUGUUUACAUUGAGGCAUUCCUGCCUUCAGCUGGAGACGUUCUCUGGCUCUGGUGGGUCGGGCCUGGUGGGCAGGCAGGAGUGUGUGGUGCCCCGGGGAUGGAGAUGGGUGGGUGGGUGGCCCCUGGUCCCAGGGCAGGCGCUGCAGGUGGGAGAAAUUGGGACUGUGGCUUGCAGUGUUAGUGCACGGAGUAGUGACUGAGGGCCGUACACAAAGAGGCUUUGGUCUGGAUGUGGUCUCCUGGCUGGAGUUGGCCAAACUCCUGAUGACACAAACACCUAGAUGCCGAUGACUCCAAACUGAUAUUUCCGGUGUGAGUUGUACCUGUUGUACAUUUCCCCUUUGCUCCUUGGUAGGCCCUUUAAAGAAAAGAUGUCCCAAACUCAUUAUAUUACCUUCUUCCCUCCACUCCCUAUUUCUGCAAAUGGCACCACUGUGCUCACCCAGCUGCCCGAGUCAGAAACUCUGCGUCCAUUUCUGACUCCUCCUUUCCUUCAUGCUUUUGCCUACAGUGACUGGGCUAGAAGCAACGGAAAGGCCGGAACAGAUCUAGCUCAUGUUAAUAUUUAUAACUUCCUCUAGAGGGCCUGACACACAGUAGGCUUCUAACACUUGGUUGUUGAAUCAAUCUACCCAACACCAAACAUAAAUGAUCCUUCCUGAUCAUCUCAUUCCUCUGUCAACAUUUAUCCAUGGCUUUCUGUUGAAUAAAGAAUAAGCAUAAAAUGUUUGCAGACUAUGCAAAAACUUUUCCUGUUUGGACUGUGCCUCCCCUAAGGACUAAUGAUACAGAAUUAUGUCACAGGCACUAGUAUCUCUCGUACUUGAUGUCUUCAGGGGGUGCUGUUCCCUCCGCCCGGAGUGCUUCUCCACUGGAUUUACAUGUCCUUCCAGACCUGAGUCUGUUAUCUGCAGGAAGAACCCCCAGGUACCUUCCCAUUCCUCAGGUGUUUGUUCUCAUAGAACCAGGCAGGGCUCCCCCAACUCUACCACAAGACUUCGUCGGUGCUGAGACUACUUGGUAAAUGCAUUCACCCUGACUGGAUUAUACGUAGCAUCAAGGCAAGACUUUGUCUUUUUCUGUAUCUUAGUUUGGCACUUGGAACAUGGCUAAAAUGACACCUAAGUGUAUUUGAGAAACCUCAGAAUGCCUUUUGCAUCCAUGUAGACUCAAGAGGGGUCUUUCUAGAGUCCACUGGGCCUCUCUCAAACCUUCUGUUUGCAGCCAGAGAGAGCAGGUUACAAUUAGUCUGUGCUAGGGAUUGCUUUGUGUCGUGAAAGGCACUGGGGCUCCGAUUGGAAAGGAUUUUGGUGGGGGGAGGGUAGGAGGAAAGUGCUUUGAAGCCCCAAGGCAUGGUCUUUGGUCUAGAAAUCCCCCUGGGUCUGGCUUUGUUGCACACAAGGCAAGGCAAUUGCAUUUACAAGUUACUUAGACACAAAGAGGCUGAGACUGACUGGGGCAGCCAAUUGGAGCCAGCACCAAAGUGUACAUUUUGUCCUACAGUCACAACAGCAGUGCUCAUACGAUAUCAGAGAUGGCAAUGAGAAUCUUGAGUUAUUUCUUUUUUUUUUUUUUUGAGUUAUUUAUAUGCGUAAAAGAAAGACAGUCCAUAAUGAUCAUCGUAAUCAGUGAUUGUAAUACCCUCUAUGUGCAUGUCAAUAUUAAACAGCAAGAAGGACGCCUGGCUGACUCAGUCGAUAGAGUGUGCGUCUCUUGAUCUCAAGGUCGUGAGUUUGAGCCCCUUGUUGGGUAUGGAGCCUACUUAAAAUAAAACUUAAAAAAAUUAUAUGACAAGAAAUCAAGCAAUAUAUUACUUAGUGUCUCUUUUUCCUUUCUGAACUCUAGGUAGGUGGAGAAUUACAAAUAGAAAAAGUGUAAGAGAUAAUUAUAUCAUUGCAAUAAUUUAGAAAAUCUGAAACAAAGCCUGGUGGCAGUGGCCUUAGGGGGAAUGUAAUACCAACUAAGUUAUUUGAAUAUAAGCAUGAUGUUGUUUAAUGCAUCCAUCAUGUAAUUAGGCAUCAUUAAGAAUCUUUCUAACAUACAGUGAUAAUUGAGAUAAUAAUGAAGGAAAAGAGAUAGUAAAGAUUAUAGACAUUUGGAAGAAAGUUGCUCUUUUGAAUUUAAUAAGGAAUAUAAUAAAGUACCUGAGGGCAUUGCAAGAGUCCAACAGGGGGUUGAGCUUCAGGGAUUUGUGAAUUUUUUUUUUUUUUUUUUUUACGAAUACAGUACUGUAAAUGUAUUUUGUCUUAUGAUUUGCUUAAUAAUUUUUCUUUUUCUCAAGCUUACUUUAUUGUAAGAAUGCAGUCUAUAAUACGCAAAGUAUGUAUUAAUCAACUUUAUGUUAUCAGCAAGGCUUCUGGCCAACAGUAAGCUAUUCAGUUAUGGGAGAGUCAAAACUGAUAUGUGGUUUUUUGACUGCGUAGGUUAGCACCCCAACCUCUGUGUUGUUCAAGGAUCAACGGUACUCAGACUCUCCAGUUAUAUCCUUUCAUUAACCACAAACGCCUGGCAGUUAGAUGAAUUUGGGUUAUUAUCAGAAAGGGAGGAAAAAGUAUAAAAUUGGGUGCAGAGAGAACGCCUGCUCUAUGCCCUUCGCCCCUACUUUUCUUUCACCCCAGUAAAAGGACAAAAAAUAUUCCAAAAGUUCCACUUCCAAGUUACUUAGAAAGGGGGCCUUUUAGUAACCAAAAACUCCUCCAAAAGGAUACAAUUAAUUUACAAAGCAAGACAACUUCCUAAGCUUUCCUAUCUUUCUGUUUCAUGAUAAAGAAAAUAAGACAUCAUGGUUUGAUCCAUAAUUAAUCACAUGAGAAUGGAAUUUAUUUUUGUCCUGAAAAUGUUGAUUUUGGGGGAAAGGAGAAGGUAGGGCUUUUUCCCCCCUUUUUUCUCCCUGUCUCUCUCUCUCUCUCUCUCUCUUUUCUCUUUCUUGCUUUCCCUCUCUCUCCCUGUUUCUCUCUCUCUCUCUCUCUCUUUCUUUCUAACAUUAAGGAAGAAACUAGCAGAAAUAAAUGAAUCAUAAAAUUGUGGACAAAUCAGACCACUGGAAUUAAUGAGAUUUCUCCAAGUAGAACUUUCUCUGAGGCCAGGUUUAGGCUCUGGGAAAAAAAAAAAAUAUGUGCGCUUGUAGGGCUUUAAAGAUGAAAACUGUUUCCUCUGCACGGUAAUGCAGAAAAGGAUUUACCCCACCAAAUUUCCCCAGAGUCCUCACUAAUAAGAUAAAGUCAGCUGAAAAUCACUUUGCUCAGCAUAGACUGUGACUUCUGAAAGGCUCAUUGAAAUUAAUCAGUACAUUUCUGUCUUACGCCGUCUUUAUGUUUCACAUCUAAGAAUGUUCCUUAGGACCGAGUGAGGAAGAGGCAGUUCCCUCAUAGUCUUUGGCAGGUGUCAUUUACUUGCAAGGUGGGCUAACAGAGGCGGAGAGCAGCUCAUCUUGAAGGUUCUGUGUGUUGCUAGAGCUGACGUAUGUGAUGAGUGGGCAGACGAGCCUCUGUGAUCUACUUUCUUCAUUCUGCAUCAUUCCUCUCUGGAGUAUUUCACAGGGACGUCCAAGCCAGCGUGGAAGAAUGAAGGACCGCACCACCAGGCAGAAAUUAAAGGGAGCAACCAGGAGAAAUGUAUCUUGUGUUGGAAGCUACGCAAAACGCCAGGAGGGUGGAGGCAGACCAUGGAUGCUGGUCAAUGAAAUGUGAAAAGGAGGAGAAGCACAUGCCAAUCCCAGGCUGAGACAGUGAAAAGCCCUCGGGACUCUUUGGGCAGUUUCUUCCCCUGCCAUGGGGAAUGUGAAAGCCUCGUGUUGAGACAGAAGAGCCUCCAGAUCAAAGCCACUUGGAUCACCGUGUCGCUGCACGGAGGACACCUGCCAUGGAGGAUGGCCUGGGCCCACGGCCAGACUAUGCAUGUGUUAUGUUAAACUAUGUAAGACUGCAUGGCUGUUGUUUACACAGCGUGAGCCAGCCUGCUCUGGCUGAUACUGGAAGGAUGCUGUAGGAGUGCUUUCUAGUCCCCUGGGAACACCUUGUGUUUUAUCAUUUGGGAUAACGUGGGUAGUAAACACCAGUCUUGAGCUGGGGAAUCCUAGAUUUUUUUGGAUGGUAAGCUCUUAAAUUAUUAUUAGUGUGCAAGUGACAUCCAACUGAAGGAUAAAAUAGCGAGAGUAAGGUGCAUAUUGCGGAGAAAAGGCCACAGUGGAAAAAACAACUCUGUUGAAGUUGAAUCCCAGUCUGCCACCCUUAUCUCUAUUCUUUUGAGUUUUAUAAUCUGCUUUUCAAGUCGGUUACCUCAUAAUUAAAAUAAGGAUCACACUCUCUGCUUUAUAGAAUUGUUGGGCGGACGUACUGGCAUAGGUCACUAAUGUGACCUUGAGAGAGAUACUUGAACUUUGUGAGCGUGAAAUUCUUUAUGUUUAAAAGUAAAGCAAUACCCGCCUUGGGGGCUGUGGUGAGGACGCAUGAGAAUGUGUGCGUUCCGUGGUUUCUGGCACAUGCUGUAUGCUCAAUAAGGUUGAUUGCCACCGUGAGUUGAUAAGCAAACGUGUUGGGAUUUACUCUCCACAGUAGCAUCUCCAAGCACGGGGGCUUAUACCUUGAUUAACGGCAUGAAGAGUUUUCCGUACCUCGGGCUCCACGUAGAGCUGAACAGUCUCAUUUUGCUGUUUUGUUAUUAGCAUGGAGUACAAAUAAAUAAAUGCCACUUUCCUUUCUUGUGCGUGAGCCCUAUCGUUCAGUGUUUUUAUAGACCAUUCUGAGUCCGUCUUGGGCUCUGCAUGGAGAGAAAUAGGCUUCAGGUUUGCUCUCAUCCUGGGGUGAUUCUGGCCUGGAGAGAAAACCCAGGCUGGAUUUUCUUAGACUUUUCAAGAAAGCAUGCCCACCAUCUACACCUGUACUGUCAACUGGUUAAUUUUUAAACUAUCCUGAUCUGUUUUUACCAAAACCCACACAACGGAAAUGUAAGGUGGAGAGACACUUGGCUCUCCCACAUCUGCUGACAGCUUUUGCCGUCCUGGUUCGCUCUCCGUUUUCGACAGCCGAGUUCAUCUGAGAAGCAGAAGCACAAACAUCAAGUUAGCAUCUUGCAUACAUUACCCUGCAAUAAUUCACAGCACAAUAAACAGCUGUUAAUGAAGAGUCUCAGUGCAGAGAUAUCUGGUUUUAUGAUUUACUCUACACGACUAAUUAAAGAAAGAAAUCUUUAUUGCCUUUUAUAACUGUGCAGCCCCUUCACAUUUCUGUCUUUACGCAUUUUUUCCCCUUCAAGUCUGUGAGCGAUAUUGGCCCACAUUGGUUUGUGCUCCCGAUGGAUUACAGCGUAACUGGAUUCUCCUGUCUCUGCAACUACCUUUUUUUUUGCCAGCUCCCUACACUUCAGUCCUUUCACGUCUCAGAAGCUCCAACACCCUACAGCUGUCCUGGUCCCUCCACCAGCGAUCUGUUAAAGGAAGUAAUUUUAAGUUUGUAAUGGCUUUAUUAUAUGCUAAAUAACUGUUUGAAUGUGAACAAAUCA